rnacentral:rRNA from 1 species
GACGAACGCUGGCGGCGUGCUUAACACAUGCAAGUCGAACGGAAAGGCCCUGCUUUUGUGGGGUGCUCGAUUGGCGAACGGGUGAGUAACACGUGAGUAACCUGCCCUUAACUUUGUGAUAACUUCAGGAAACUGGGGCUAAUACCCGAUAGGAUCUCCUGCUCCAUGGUGGGGGUUGGAGAGUUUCGGCUGUUGGGGAUGGACUCGCGGCUUAUCAGCUUGUUUGUGGGGUAGUGGCUUACCAAGUCUUUGACGGGUAGCCGGCCUGAGAGGGUGAACGGACACAAUGGGCCUGCGAUAAGGCCCAGACUCCUACGGGAGGCAGCAGUGGGGAAUCUUGCACAAUGGGCGGAAGUCUGAUGCAGCAACGCUGCGUGCGGGAUGCCGGCUUUCGGGUUGUAAACCGCUUUCGCCUGUGACGAAGCGUGCGUGACGGUAAUGGGUAAAGAAGCAACGGCUAACUACGUG